rnacentral:rRNA from 1 species
UACGUAGGUGGCAAGCGUUAUCCGGAAUUAUUGGGCGUAAAGCGCGCGCAGGUGGUUUCUUAAGUCUGAUGUGAAAGCCCACGGCUCAACCGUGGAGGGUCAUUGGAAACUGGGAGACUUGAGUGCAGAAGAGGAAAGUGGAAUUCCAUGUGUAGCGGUGAAAUGCGUAGAGAUAUGGAGGAACACCAGUGGCGAAGGCGACACGCUGGGCCGUACCUGACGCUGAUACGCGACAGCAUGGGGAGCGAACGGG